GACGAACCGUGCGAACGUUGUUCGGAAUUACUGGGCGUAAAGGGCGCGUAGGCUGUGCUGUAAGUCAGGCGUGAAAGCCCCGGGCUCAACCUGGGAAUUGCGCUUGAUACUGCGGCGCUGGGAGGUGGGAGAGGAUGGCGGAAUUCCCAGUGUAGAGGUGAAAUUCGUAGAUAUUGGGAAGAACACCGGUGGCGAAGGCGGCCAUCUGGCCCACAUUUGACGCUGAGGCGCGAAAGCGUGGGGAGCAAACAGG
rnacentral:rRNA from 1 species